UACGGGGGGGGGCAAGCGUUGUUCGGAAUUACUGGGCGUAAAGAGCUCGUAGGCGGUUUGGUGAGUCGGGUGUGAAAUCUCCACGCUCAACGUGGAGGAGCCACCCGAUACUGCCAUGACUAGAGUCCGGUAGGGGAGUGUGGAAUUCCCGGUGUAGCGGUGAAAUGCGCAGAUAUCGGGAGGAACACCGGUGGCGAAGGCGGGUCUCUGGGCCGAUGACUGACGCUGGAGGAGCGAAAGCGUGGGGAGCGAACAGG
rnacentral:rRNA from 1 species